rnacentral:rRNA from 1 species
GAUGAACGCUGGCGGCGUGCCUAAUACAUGCAAGUCGAGCGAACGGACGAGAAGCUUGUUUCUCUGAUGUUAGCGGCGGACGGGUGAGUAACACGUGGAUAACCUACCUAUAAGACUGGGAUAACUUCGGGAAACCGGAGCUAAUACCGGAUAAUAUUUUGAACCGCAUGGUUCAAAAGUGAAAGACGGUCUUGCUGUCACUUAUAGAUGGAUCCGCGCUGCAUUGGCUAGUUGGUAAGGUAACGGCUUACCAAGGCAACGAUGCAUAGCCGACCUGAGAGGGUGAUCGGCCACACUGGAACUGAGACACGGUCCAGACUCCUACGGGAGGCAGCAGUAGGGAAUCUUCGGCAAUGGGCGAAAGCCUGACGGAGCAACGCCGCGUGAGUGAUGAAGGUCUUCGGAUCGUAAAACCCUGUUAUUAGGGAAGAACAUCUGUGUAAGUAACUGUGCACAUCUUGACGGUACCUAAUCAGAAAGCAACGGCUAACUACGUG